GUCCUUUCCCAUCUGUUCAAAGGCUGUAACAGGGAGAUGGUGGAGCGGGCCUGUGCUGGGAGAAAAAGCUUGAGUACAAACACACAAAACUGAGGAAAACCUAGAUAUGAAUGGUAGUGAAGGCAGAGUGAUUGGUGCUUACAGAGGGAGCAGGGAAGUAUAGUAUAAAAGUAAGCUGCAGUACUCACUUCACAGGACUUUCUGGUGGCUAUAUCUAUGUUUUGGAAGCAGCAGCCAGAUACUGUUGGUUCCUGGCUCAUUUGCACAGUCUAAGGAUGAAUAGAUUGGUGACUCUUCAAGCCCACUUCCUCUUCAGGGCCCUUUUAAAAUCUGUGCAGUUGCUGUCCUGCCCAGUGAAACCCAGUAGAUUCUGUGAGGGGCUGACAACCUAAGGAGAGAGACACCAGUUCAGCCUUCCUAUUCAUCAGGGCUGAUUCAUUAAUGAUUAGUGCCAUUAGGUCUACUACAGCAGUGCCUGAGGGCCCCAAUUAAAGGAAAGUGAGCUUGUUAAAUCCAGAAAGCCAGAUUCUCCCUCUGUUACUCCUGCCUGAUGCAGAGGUAGUGCCUCCAGGGUGGGCAGCAAGAAUAACCCUGGCUUUCUAGGUAUGCAGCUUCUGUGCCUUUCCCUCUCCCUCCUCCCACUUUUCCCUCUCUUUCACCUUAGCUGCAGAUCCUGCUUACAGGGUGCUGUAGAGUGAGGCUAGUGCAGGAGUUGGGUAGCAGGACUUGCAAGAGGAGGUGGCAAAUCAGGUUAUUUUUCUGAGCCACUUCUUUUUUCAUCACAAGUGGGUUUGGGUGGGGUUUUUUUUUGGUUUAUUGGGGGUUUUUGUGGCUUUUUUUUUUUUUUUAGCAGGGUUGGGGGCAGGCAAAGUGAUGGGGACUGCAGAGGAGUCUGUUACAAAAUCAGAUACGAUUUUAGCUGUCUGAAAGGGCUCCUUUAGGCUACAGGCAGCUGAUGAUCAAUGAUGCUGUUGGCAAAUGUGCCUCCAGCUGGCUACUGUCUCUCUUGAGGGACAGUUUCAACCCAAGGCUCAUUGCAAUGGUGAUACGGCAAGGGGCUUUCAUUUACUUUGGGCUAAGGAUCUUCUGCUGCCCAGUUCCACCAGUGAGAAGAAAAGCUGGAGGUGAUGUGGGAGAGUGACAACAGCAUUGUUAUUGGUGAGUUAUUGGCUGUUCCUUUCCCCUCGAAUUACCGUGGUGGGUCUGUAUUAAAAGAUUUUGCUCAGAGCCCCAUACUCCUAAACUGUGGUUUGCUAACAGAUGGACAGACUCUGCUAGCAAAGAGCUUUGCCUUUCAGGAGGUACUGAAGAAAUAGGUUUAAGUGGAUCGAAUUAUCAGAAACCCAGCCUGUGGCCUGUGCCCUAGCUUUUUAGGCUUUAUUGUUUGUUUUAUUUUGUUUGUUUGUUUGCUUAUCUCCAAAGCUGAUAUAAAAGAAAGACGGAAACAGCCUCCCGAAGGUCAAGGUGAGACUGACCAUCAUCUGAGUGCUGGUAUUCACCAACAGCAAUAAAUCCCUGUCCCCAGGUGCUGGAAGUCUCUUCAGCAAAAAAACACAGCAUUACUGCAGGGGCAAACAACUCAUCCUGACCUUUACACAGCCAUUCUUUGGGAAAAAGUAUCACCUGAAGUCAAUAUGCAUUCUGCCUAGCUUUCAUCAGAAGAAAAAUGCCUGGAUUGAAGUGACGACAACAAAUAAUAGGUGUUGGUGAUUUGCACUCUCUCCAACUAAAUCAGAUAUCUGGCACAUCAAUGCUUAGAAGGCUUAGGAGAAGAAGAAAACACCAAUAUUUCACUGAACACAUGAAGUCACACAGCUCCACAGAACUCCCAGUCUCCAUUUUAAUGUCCACGGUAGCUAGUUUGUUUUGUUGUGGUUUUUUUUUUUUUUUUUCUAUCAGAUGACUGAUUUCAGUUUCUCUUUGAAUCCCACCUGUGUGAAUAGCUUGUUUUUCUCCCUAGCAAGUGUUAACAAGGAACUGCAAGGGUUUUGUUCAGGCUCACCAGUCAGGCAGCCCUGAGGUGUUUGACUUCUAGGAAAAGCCACAGCAGGAACAAGCGAGAGCCAGCCUACGCACCAGAUACAGCUUUUACUGGUCUUUAGUUUAUGUUCCAGCUCGUGCUUGUGUUAAAUGGAUCGCCGUUAGCAACUGUAAUACAGACAAACACAAGGAAGAACAAGCUGGACGCUUCAUCACGGAGCUGCGCUUGGAAGUGAUGGCCUAUUGUAACGCAGAUUCACCCGCCACAGUGGAGCUGUGCCAGCUCAUGGCAAGUUAGGACUUGCUCCUCCCUCUUUAGUCCAUGCUCUGUAGUUCCCGAUCUCAUCCUUCGUGUGAACUGGAUCAUGCAAAUGGGGGCACUGAAGUCACGGGGAAGUUGAGUAGAGUUCUGCAUGAGCACUGGCAUGAGAAGGAGCAGCAAUUAGCUCUAAACUCACUCUGCUGGCUUGUUGUUUCUGAGCUCUACCCCUGCUGCUCUGUAGCUGGAAGACUUUUGCUCUAGAAGAUGGGGAGAAGAACAUUUUGCUCAUGCUCAUAUUAAUCAAGUCAUCUUAUGAGCUACUGAAUCUGUGAAAUUGUAUCUCCUGUGGAGUUCAGUGGUAAUGACUGUCUCUGAUGUGGACUCUCCGGUGUCUAAUAAUACAGUUUUGUUUCUGCAGCGGAUGCACUUCCAGCAUUUUUUCUCCUCUGCCUGCCUACUUCCACAGCACAUGUAGGCUGCUGAAACCUUUGAGACUUCUAUCCCCUGUCAAGUUUGAUCAAACUCAGCUCACAGGCUCAAAAAAUUAUUUAGGAGGGACCGACUGGCACUUGCACAAGACAGUGUGAUCUCAUAAGCCUCCCUUGCUUGGGAAACUAGGCUACCAGCCUAGCAACAGGGGAAAAAAAUGCCAUCCUGCUAGCAAAAAGGACCUAAACACUGGGAGGAAAGAGGGGAGGUGGGAAAGUGAAACUGUUUUGAAGGGAAAAAAAUAACUGCCUUGUGGCUGCAGAGUUCUCAUACAUUUAAAGGGCCAACCUUGGAGACACAUGCUGGAAAAUAUUCUCCAGGAGAUGAUAAGCUCUCUUGUGAAAACUGGUAAGGGAGAGAAAUCACAUGGACUCAUCUCACCACCAGGCAUGCUAAAUGGAUAUCUGUAUGGUAAAGAUUGUCCCCAGUGGUACCUGUUUCCCUCUGUGGACUAGAGGAAGCCACAGACACAACUAGCAUGCAACUCAUGUGCCUGCAGUAUCUAAAACAAGGUGGGUCCUAUCCCAAAGGGAAUGGUCUUCUUACCGCUAUGUCCUUCAGACCAAAGUUUUCCAUGGUGCUGCUGCAGGUUUUGUUACUUCAUGUACUACGUUUGUAUGUUAGAAAAGCUGCUGUGUGUCUUAAUAGCUGCAGAUGUAUGCAUGGUUUUACUGGGCAUUUAUUAGCACUUAUCCUCUUUGCACUAAAACCUUUCUUGUCCUUGUACCUUAUGGAAUAAAAUUCUUUAAGUGAG